GACGUAGGGCGCGAGCGUGUCCGGAUUUAUUGGGCGUAAAGAGCUCGUAGGCGGCUUGUCGCGUCGUUCGUGAAAACCUGCAGCUCAACUGCAGGCUUGCGGUCGAUACGGGCAGGCUAGAGUUCGGUAGGGGAGACUGGAAUUCCUGGUGUAGCGGUGAAAUGCGCAGAUAUCAGGAGGAACACCCGUGGCGAAGGCGGCU
rnacentral:rRNA from 1 species